rnacentral:rRNA from 1 species
CCCUUAGAUGUUCUGGGCUGCACGCGCGCUACACUGAUGCGCUCAACGAGUUUACGACCUUGCCCGGAAGGGUUGGGUAAUCUUUUUAAAACGCAUCGUGAUGGGGAUAGAUUAUUGCAAUUAUUAAUCUUUAACGAGGAAUUCCUAGUAAGCGCGAGUCAUCAGCUCGUGCUGAUUACGUCCCUGCCCUUUGUACACACCGCCCGUCGCUCCUACCGAUUGGGUGAUCCGGUGAAUAACUCGGACUGCAGCUAUUCGGGAGACCGUUAGCUUGUGGAAAGUUUAGUAAAUCUUAUCACUUAGAGGAAGGAGAAGUCGUAACA